rnacentral:rRNA from 1 species
GACGAACGCUGGCGGCGUGCCUAAUACAUGCAAGUUGAGCGCUGAAGGUUGGUACUUGUACCAACUGGAUGAGCAGCGAACGGGUGAGUAACGCGUGGGGAAUCUGCCUUUGAGCGGGGGACAACAUUUGGAAACGAAUGCUAAUACCGCAUAAAAACUUUAAACACAAGUUUUAAGUUUGAAAGAUGCAAUUGCGUCACUCAAAGAUGAUCCCGCGUUGUAUUAGCUAGUUGGUGAGGUAAAGGCUCACCAAGGCGAUGAUACGUAGCCGACCUGAGAGGGUGAUCGGCCACAUUGGGACUGAGACACGGCCCAAACUCCUACGGGAGGCAGCAGUAGGGAAUCUUCGGCAAUGGACGAAAGUCUGACCGAGCAACGCCGCGUGAGUGAAGAAGGUUUUCGGAUCGUAAAACUCUGUUGGUAGAGAAGAACGUUGGUGAGAGUGGAAAGCUCAUCAAGUGACGGUAACUACCCAGAAAGGGACGGCUAACUACGUG